rnacentral:rRNA from 1 species
UACGGAGGGGGCUAGCGUUGUUCGGAAUUACUGGGCGUAAAGCGCACGUAGGCGGCUUUGUAAGUUAGAGGUGAAAGCCCAGGGCUUAACCCUGGAAUUGCCUUUAAGACUGCAUCGCUAGAAUUGUGGAGAGGUAAGUGGAAUUCCGAGUGUAGAGGUGAAAUUCGUAGAUAUUCGGAGGAACACCGACGGCGUAGGCAGCGCCCUGGACGACACCUGACGCUGAGGCACGAAAGCUGGGGGAGCGAACAGG